AGUUUGGCUCUUGUGGACAUUGCUAUAAUAAAUAUUGGGGUGCAGGUGCUCCUUCAAAUUGCAUUUGUAUCUUUGGGGUAUGUAAUGCAAUUGCUAGGUCUAGGGUGGCUCUAUUUUUAACUUUUUGAGGAAACCCCAUACUGUUUUCCAGAGUGACUGCACCAGCUUGCAUCCCCACCAACAGUGUAAGAGGAGGGUUCCCGUUUCUCGGCAUCCUCUCCAAUGUCAGUCCUUUCCUGACCUGUCAAUUUUAGGCAUUCUGAGGCGGGGUGUGAGGCAGUAUCUCAGUGCAGUUUUGUAGCUCACUGACAAGCACUCCAGGUGAGUGAAGAUGUUAAAUAACUUAAGGAGCAUCCUACACACUGCAGACAAUUCAAAGAGCCCAUAUGCAAACCCCAGUCUGGAAGGCCCCAAAUGCAGACCCGGAAAGGUACCGCAAAGCAGGUUACAGGGUCUCCAAGGCGGACAAGGGCACACGGGAGGUGGGGUGGGGAAGCAUCACCAAGGGCCCGGGAGGGGACGGUGGUGGUGGCGGUUUGAUCGCCAUGCAGAUGCCCAACCUCCUGUUCUCGGAAGGUAGGAGGAGCUCAGGGCAGGGAGCUGAGCGACCUGUGCUUCCAUGAUAAAGGGACAGUCAUCCGAGGAGCAAAUGUCCAGGAAGGAGGGAGGGAGACCAAGGAAGAAGGAGGCUCCUCCUUCACUCGCGUCCUCAGCUCCCCAUGCACGCCACGUGGGUGGGAGCGUGUCACACACACCCACGCGCCCACAGCCACGCUCGCCGCUCUCCCGCCCCGGCCGGGCCCAUCUCCGCGCGCCUCGGGGCGCUGGGCCUCAGCCGGCCACGCCGCCACCUGCUGCUGCUGCGUCCCCAGGGAAGGCGAAGGAGCAUCUCCGCGCCUCCCGGGUCCUCGCGCCGAGCCCCUGCGCGGGGCAUGAGGAGCCCCGGGGCGCCGCCCGGAGACGGAGAGGACCCGGCUGCGCGCACACCUCGCCAGCGGCGGACGGGGACAUGAGCGGCGCGCGCGGGCUCCGGGGCCCGGCGGCCAGCCCCAGCCCGCGGCGGCCAGCGGGUCGGCGCUGCCCGGGAGAAUGA
rnacentral:lncRNA from 1 species